rnacentral:lncRNA from 1 species
CUCCAUAGGCACCUUCUCCCAGGGUUUGCACCAAGUCCCAGUCUUCCACAAAGGGCACUGCCAUGACUCCACCGAGCACCUCGGCUUCCCCUUCUAUCUCAUCCACAUUUAUCCAAGUCUUUCAACCACGAACAACUAUUCUAAACCUGACCAUUUUGUCGUGUAAAUCACAAUCGCCACUCCCAAGCACACCGAAGGUUG